UACAGAGGUGGCAAGCGUUAUUCGGAAUUAUUGGGCGUAAAGGGCGCGUAGGCGGCUUUGCAAGUGACGGGUGAAAUCCCUCGGCUUAACCGAGGAACUGCCUGUCAGACUGUAAGGCUUGAGACCGGGAGAGGUGAGUGGAAUUCCCAGUGUAGCGGUGAAAUGCGUAGAUAUUGGGAGGAACACCAGUGGCGAAGGCGGCUCACUGGACCGGUACUGACGCUGAGGCGCGAAGGCGUGGGGAGCGAACAGG
rnacentral:rRNA from 1 species